GACGAACGCUGGCGGCGCGCCUAACACAUGCAAGUCGAACGAGCGAGAGAGAGCUUUCUUUCUCGAGCGAGUGGCGAACGGGUGAGUAACGCGUGAGGAACCUGCCUCAAAGAGGGGGACAACAGUUGGAAACGACUGCUAAUACCGCAUAAGCCCACGGCUCGGCCUCGAGCAGGGGGAAAAGGAGCAAUCCGCUUUGAGAUGGCCUCGCGUCCGAUUAGCUAGUUGGUGAGGUAACGGCCCACCAAGGCGACGAUCGGUAGCCGGACUGAGAGGUUGAACGGCCACAUUGGGACUGAGACACGGCCCAGAAUCCUAAGGGAGGCAGCAGUGGGGAAUAGUGCAAAAUGGGGGAAACGCUGAAGCAGCGACGACGCGUGGAGGAAGAAGGUAUUCGGAUUGUAAACUCCUGUUGUUGGGGAAGAUAAUGACGGUACCCAACAAGGAAGUGACGGCUAACUACGUG
rnacentral:rRNA from 1 species